AACUUGAGGGCUGUCCAUCCAGACUAUGGAAACCGGGUUCAGAAUCUUCUCAACAAGUUCAAUAAUGAGGCCCAGCAGAACACACCCGUGCAUGUCUACAGCCGUCCAGGAGUCUCGGCCGUCGCCGCAUUCUCCAAGAUGUGAUGCCUUAAAUUUCCAGAAGGGGCAGCACCCUCAUGUAUCGCAGAGCAAAUGCACUUCUUGAUUAACAACUGCUACUAAGAGUAACGAGAUUGGACUAAAAAAUUAGUAUAAUGACGAGACUGAAACACCGACUUGUAAUGUGAGGGUUGUGUUUUUUGUUUUUUUUCAUUCAGUCCAUCCAAACAGUUGAUUUUCCUCAAAAUCCUCAAAGCUUUCAAUAUUCAGCAGAUUCUUUAUCUCUGUCAUUUGUCUUGAUUGAACACUAAUUUAAAAAACAGAUGAAGUUGUUUAGUUGUUAUUUUCUUUACAGACUGAAACAAAGACCACUAUGGCAACUAAUGUUAACUAGAUCGAGUACAGCAUGACGAAAUGGAGGGCUUGCCUUUGACCAAAUAUGGCCUCAAUGCUAAUGUUUGUUUGUUUUUAAAUAUAGGUGUGAUUGAAGUUUCAAGUUCAACCUCAGCUUCUUCCAUGUACCAGGAUGAGUGAUUAUUUCUUAGGUUAUGUUUGUAUGUUGGAUUGAUUUAUCUUUCUCCAAAAAAAAAUCCAAAUCAGCUAUUCUGUUAGUCUUCUUUUAACAUUCACAUGUGAUUCAAUGUGUGACAUAUUCAGCAUUAAUCUCCGAUCAGGUUGUAAAAUACAUUGAUUUUUUUAUGUAGUGUUGGCACUACUUCUUUGCAAGAAGCAGUAUUUUUGUUUUUCACUGCAGGCAAUCAUAAGCGUUGGCUUGUUUUCCUCACGAUUGACUGAACCUCAAAAAUCAUUGCAUUCUUCAUGAGAAGAACUUUCAAACUGAAAUGAUUUUUCAGUUUGAUCUGGAGGUGUUUGUGGGCGCGUGCAUGUCAGUAAUGCAGUUUACAAAAA